AGGAAGAACUAGCCACACGUGUGAGUUUAUACUGGCUGCAGAGGAGCAAGCAAGAAGGGCAAAUCCCACCUACCCCCGCCUAAAAUACUCAGUAGCAGAACCCACGGGAAUCUGUGGCCGGUUCCAGAGGUGCUGGCAAUAUCCAGGAAGAUUCGUAUCGACAGAAAUCCAAAUGAGAACAAACUUGACACCUGAAAUUGCAGCAGCUGUUUGGUGACCAGAAGGGGACAUGCAGGAGAAGAAAAGGCUGUGAGGUAAGGAGGCUGAACCAGACAGAAAGAACAUCAGCUCUUGACAGCAUCAUUGAGUUGCUGUAGCAGUAAACUACCCACCCCUGGACUUCUUGUUCUUUGAGAAAAAUAAAAGGAUAAUUAAUACAAAUAGUGGAUUUCAUCCAUUUUGAGAUCAGGCUUUUGUUGGGAAUUCUUUUCUUCAGCUCCAAGUAUCUCGGUGGACGAUGGUAACGUUCAAAAUUAAAUUCCAAUUUUUCCCCUCUGCACUCAACACUUCUCGAUCCUUCCCCAAAUCAUUUAGGAUAAAAUAUAAAUGUCUUAGCUUAGUUCUCAGACAUGUUUCAAGAUUUACUUGCAAUUCACAUCUUAAUCUCAUCUCUGGUCACUCACCCACCAAGCUUCUUUCAUUUCAGCCACCUUAAUGACUACCGUGUGUGUGCAGCCUGGCCCGCUAGAAUGCCACGGUUUUCCUCAUACUUCUUAUGCUAUUUUCCUGUGCCUUUUCUUUCUGCAAAGAACAUUCUCCUUUCUUUUCUAUAUUUAGCUAAAUCUCCUUGAAUUUCUAGGCUCAGAUCAUCAGUUCUUUUCUCUAGAGAGAGGACCCUGGCCAUUCCUGGGUGGUUUAGGGUUCUAGGGGCACACAUUAUACAUGUUUGCCCUCUUCCACUCUAUAAUUGUGGGGUACCUGCUGUUUCACUGGUUUGCUUUUUAAAUCAGCUUCAAGUUCUAUAAAGUCAGGGAACAGACUUCAUUUGUACUUGUAUUAUUAGGACUCAGCAUAUAAUAGACAUUCAACACAAUAUUUAAAUGAAUAAAUGAUGAAAUGGAUACAUCAAUAAAUUACUCUUGAUGAGAAAGAUAAAGAAAGAUGUCAUGGAAUAAUUGUAUGGCUUUGAAUGAGACACCUCACUCUUGAAGCAGGGUUAGGAUUGAGAGAGGGACAGAUACUGGCACAGACCAAGGAACAAGUACAUAUGUCCUGAGUUCUCGAGGGAAUGAAUGGGUAAAUGAGAAGUCAAGAAUUCUAGGUGGACAGAGUUUGAGUCAUUGCCCAGGAGCAAGAAUCAAGAAGUCAAGCACCAAUCUGCCUGACAAAUUGUGACGAGUCCAGGUUGGCUGAGGCUUGGGAUCGAGGAAACCCUAGGACCUCAAGUGACAGACUGCACAUAUUGGUUUGGGGUAUAUUAAAUGGAGGAGUUUUGGCACAAUCAAAAUUGUGAUUUUUUUUUACAAGACUUAAUUUUCCUUCUUGGUGGGACUUGAUGAUAAUGGGAUACUACAGCAAUCUUGAAAGCAAAUGUUUACCGAGAUGAGCAAGAGGGUAGGUUCUUACUUGGCACCCUCUGCAAGAAAAUUCUUAAUGUCUUCUUUGUUUCUAAAGGGACAUCUUACUUUCUAAAUUAACUGCUGAAUAUGUUAGAAGAGAAGAAAGACAAAGAGAAGAGAUGUGGUAGUGUGCAAUCACCCAUCAGAAUGAAAUGUUGGGGCUUCAGUUAGUUUAAAAAUUGGUCUGCUAUGCUUAUAUGAUCCCUUGCAUUUUAAAUUCUGCCCGGCACAUGGAAACACAGAAUCAUUGUACUUAACAUAACAGAUUGCAUCUGGAAGGUCUCUUAAGUAAUUCUAAUAGUUCUAUAUAACAGGAAUAUUUAAUUCAUUUGGUGUUUUCAUUAUUUAAAUAUUUGAUUAUUUGUGCCAUAUAUCCUUAUAUGUCAAAUUACAUGAUCUGAUUCUUUGAAGUCAUCAAUAGCAAUUUAGCUCUAAUCGAGCUGGCAGUCUCCAGGGAGAUGAUCUUGAGUAAAUUCAUCUCAUUUUUGCUCUCUUCCAGGAUUUGAUUUUGCUCUUCUGUGCCAUUUGCAAAUGAUAGGCCCUCCUGCCUCCACUUCUUUCUAAACUCAUGUUCCAUGAUCUGCAAGAAAUAUUAAAAAAAAAAAAAAACAUUUGCAAGCAGAUUUUUUUUUUUUUUUGUCUUCCAAUUAUGAGCCCUUGAACAACAGAAUAGAAAGCCCAAACUGGUCUCAUAUUCCUUCUGGGCUUUAGUAUCUCAAGCUCAUCAUAGGUGUUCAAUGAUACUCUUUUGACGUUAUGUGGAACAUAAGGACUUCCCUCCAGGAGAAAGCAAGCAAGUUGGGAUAGCCAUAGUUACUUGAGAGUUUAGUUCUAUAUUUCACUUAAAAAGCAAAAACAAAGCAAAACAAAAUGAAACAGUAUUCAAUUAUUUUUGUUCUCUAUUGAAACCGUAGAUUCUCCUUUGAAAGUGGAUUAGAAUAUUCCUAGAUUCAGGCACUGAGCCUAGUAUAUACUAUAUAAUCUAUUUAUAGUACCUAUUAUAAUAUUCUAUUUGUAAGCAAAUAAAUUCCUAAAGUAAUAUUUCUAAAUAAAUAAAUUUUAAAAAAUAUUAAGGUCAUUAAUCUACUCAGGUUUUGCUGUUAUUUGUGUUUUUUUUUGUCACCAGAUACUGACUAUAAAAAAAAAUCAGUGUUUAAAAGACUUUAUGAAUUGUAGUAGUGCAUCAUUUAAAGUCUAUUCUAUAUUAUUCUAUCUUCUAUGUAGACAGCCCAGUUAAGCAUGAUCACGUCCAUGGGCUUAUCUCUACAGGACAAGUAGAGAUAUUAACGUACAAUGAAGAAGUUUUUUGUACUGUUUUGUCUUUUCAUAUGUUUCAUUGAGCUGUAGACAGAGUUUGAUGAGAUGAGCUGAAAUAAAGGUAAGCAAUUUCAACGUACUUUGAUUGUAAUUGUUGGAUGCUUGAGUAAAGAGAAAAUGUUGGAAUGCCAUAGCAUUCUUUCUCAACAUCCUCCUUGGACCCCAGAGAACAUUUUUUUUGCAAAAGAAGGUAAUUAAAGGCACUGGUGAAUGAGGAAUCAUUCUGUCCCCCAGGACAGUUGGAGCCAGACUGAGCAAGGUCAGUAAGGUUGGUACAAACUUGGAAGAACUCAGUGGUGAUUGUGAGUCUGUAAAGACAGGAAAGCAUUUCUCCAAACACCCUUGGCCAUUGUUCCAAAAACUCAAGAGACUUUGCAAAAGUGCAUGUUACUAAGCAUUUCUUAGGAACUAACCAUGUCCAGAGGCUCACACAGUAGCCAGCAAAGCCUAUAAAGCAUGUUCAUCAUCUAAGCUAUUCAUUAACAUAGUAAAAAGGCAUGGCAGCAUUUAGGAAAAUGCACAGAUAUUACAUGGAAAUAUAUAUCUAUAUUUCUCCAAACCUGAGCUUAUUUUAUAUGAGGUACUGUAGAACUACCGAUGAGAUUGCUUUCUGAAGGCAACAAGUUCAGUAAAUCACUCUGCUUUUCUCCAGUCUUUUCAUCCGGCAUGUAAAAUUUCAACCAUGAUGAACAGAGGGAGUCUCUGGUCCAAAAGCCCCAAAUUUCUUAUCCACAAAUACAGGCAAAUGGAAAUUGCAGUUCUUCAAAAACAGCAUUCCUCAUUGUAAUUUGUUUUUCACUUGUUACAGAGUCAAAUAACAUUGGUAAGUGUAAUAAAAUGUUUCAAAAUAUUCCUGUGCUUGUUCAUUUGCUUUGAGGACAUAAAGAGGCAGAUCUUAAAGCAAUGUAUUCUGAUCGAGAAACAGCUGGAAAUGGCAGCAACGUGAUAUGGAGCAAUCAAGAACGGAAGGUUUAUUUUGAAUGAGAGGUGUUGUCCAGCUGUGAGACUGAGUGAUUGCAGCUGAGAAUGAGUGCAAACACAAUCACUAGUGGCUCCAGGUAUGAAGUUAUUGAGGACCUGUCUUGUUUCAUGUCUUUUUCUGCUGCCACAUUCACAAUACAUCCAUAGAUUGCAAUCCUGUCUGUGGAGGAGGAAAAAAGUUCUUCAGUUUAUUCUUAUUCUUAAUGACAGCUUCUGAGCUGUCAUGAUUUGAAAUUACAAUGAUAAAAAGGCUCCUUUGAAAAAAAAAAGAAUAUAUUCCAAAGCCAAAUUGUGUAUCGGACAGGUAAGAAUGCUUCAUCAUUAAAUGGUCUUGGAUAUGCAUUGCCUCUACAGCCUGCCAUCAAUUUUUAUGUCAGUUGUGCUCUGUUUUCUGGACUUGUAUAGCUACGGGCAGAGACAUUUCAUUCUUCCUGGUCCCUGACAACAUUAUUAUUUUAUUGAUAUAGACCAAAGGAGCAGAUCGAUAAUGAUGUGCUUUGAAUAAUCUAUAAUUGCAACAUUUUAUAUUUAGAUACCACUUGAGUUUGGGCAGUAUCUUAGCAUACCUCAUUUAAUGAAACUUCGCUUCAACACAAGUAUAUUGUCCAAGAUAUGUGUCUCUUUAGGUCUCAUUAUUUUAUAGUCAUACUUUAUGUGUCCCACACAGAUAUAUCACAAACACAUAAAGACAGGUACAUAACUACAUAAGAAACAUUCCCCAAUCUUGGGGUACCUGGGUGGCUCAGUCAGUUAAGUGUGCCUUUGGCACAGGUCACGAUCUCAGGGUCCUGGGAUCGAGCCCUGCAUAGGGGUCCCUGAUCAGUGGAGAGUCUGCUUCUCCCUGUCCCUCUGCCUUUCCCCUUCCCCCUGCAUGGAGGGGGAACUCUCUCUCUCUCUCUCUCUCUCUCUCUCUCAAAUAAAUAAAUAAAAUGUUUUAAAAAAAGAAAUAGUCCCCAAACUUAUACUUGGUGCUUUGUUUAGAAUAUCUUAACAAUAUAUUUUUUAAAUAAAAAUCUUUCUUCCAUUUAUAUUGCAAAAAUGACCACUUGAUGAUUAAUAAAUCUUUACUUUCUUGUGUUCCUGUAUCUGUGUAAGGCCUUAAUGGGCCACUAACCACAUGAAAUACAAACUUGAAUAAAAUAGAGCUCUUGACCUCAAUGAGAUUAAAAUUCACUUGUUUCUUCAGCUAGUCCUUUCCAACUAGCAUUCUCAUUAGACAAUUUCAUUAAAAAAAGAAAAAA
rnacentral:lncRNA from 1 species